rnacentral:lncRNA from 1 species
GCUAACUCUAAGGUCGCCCCCUGGUGUCCGUUUCUUGCAUAAUCCACCAAGGCUUCAGUGACACAUCUCAGCCUCUCUUACUGGAUACUCUCAGAGGCCCCAAGAAGACGUGAAGGGAAGUCUGGAGAAUAAAGGCACCACCCAGGUGGAGCUAGCUUCAACUUUACUGUAGCCAAUCCCUACUUCUUCUGAAGAUGUUAGCUGAGAGCCAUUGGAAAAUUCCACUGGACCCCUCCUGGAAGAGACAGCCCAGAGAGCAUGUAGGCCAGAAGGGAGAGGCUGAGUAAGCCCUUCCUACCUCAUUCCCUAAAGACCAAUCAGUUUAAAG